rnacentral:rRNA from 1 species
UACAUAGGCCUCGAGCGUUAGGCGGAAUCACUGGGCUUAAAGCGUGUGUAGGCGGACUUCUAAGUACCUUGUGAACUCCCACGGCUCAACCGUGGAACUGCUUGGUAUACUGGUUGUCUUGAGCCUUCUAGGGGCGAGUGGAACAAAUGGUGGAGCGGUGAAAUGCGUAGAUAUCAUUUGGAACGCCAAUGGUGAAAACAACUCGCUGGGGAAGUGCUGACGCUGAGACACGAAAGCCAGGGGAGCGAACGGG